rnacentral:rRNA from 1 species
AUGGCGUCGCAGGACGGCGGGUGGGGCGACGGCGGCGACUCGCUCUUCGAGGGCAUGGUCCUCUUCGCCCCCGCUGACCCCGCAGCCGCCGAGGCCGAGGAGGCACCCGAACCCCCCAAGCCGCCCACGCCCCCUCCCGCCGCCGCCGCCGCCUCCGACGCCGAGUCCAGCGCCACUUCCCAGCCUCUGGACGAGGACCUCUUCUCCGAUCUCACCCUGCUCGCCCCUCAGCCUCCACUAGACCAGGACCAACACCCCCAGCCCCAAGCCCAAGAUCAGAACCACCGCCCCGCCUCGCCAGUCGCGGUCACGCCUCCCCCCGCCGCCGCUGCCCUCUCGCGCCAGCCGUCCUCCUCGUCGCUCCGGAAGAAGAAGAGGGCCGUGCGCAUCGGGUACGGCCGCUCGCCUCAAACCGCCCCCGCUCUGCCGCCUACCGUGCCAAUCGCUAACACCGCCGCCCCCGCCGCCGCCGCUGCUACGGCUACUGUACUUCGUACUACCAGUAGUAGUAGUAGCCUCUCCGAUGCUUCUACAUAUGACGCUAUUCCCCCUAUCCCCAUCCAGUACCUUGACCAACUAGGCAAUGACGAUGAGAGAGAUGCAGCUGUGGUGGAUCCGGAUGCCAAUUCUCUGGAUGCAAUCAGCGUCAAUUCUUUGGAUGCGAAACAGGAGGCGAAAGAAGAAGAUGGUGGCAAGGAUGCUGGAGAGGCUGUAGUUGCAGUAGUGGGGAUCGAGGAGAGGUUGGCUCUUCUUAGAUCUCAAAUAUCUAGUAAGCUUGAUUCAAUCCAGCAGAGCGCCGCUGCUGUCGCAGCCAAGAGGAGGCAGCUGGCGGGUAGGCAGAGGAAGGUUGCAGAGGAUGUCGGUUCGGCGGCAUCCAGGCACAAGGAUUUGGAGAGGGAGCUGGAGGAGGCAUGCGAAGCCGAGGAUUUUGAGAGGGCCGAGAGGAUCAGUGACUCCCUUGCCGCUCUGGAGAAGGACAAAGAUCGGUUGUUGACUGCGCUGCGUGAUGCGGAGCUUGAUUAUGAUUCGGUGGAUUUGGAGUUGCAGGAUGUGCUUGAGUCCCGCAUAGCCGUGGAGGAGGAAGCUGCUGCCCUUCUUGAGCAGUUUGCAAAGGAUGCCACUGAGCAUGCUGAUUCUGUAAGCAAACAAGCAGAAGAAAUGUCGUCGAAAGAAAUAGAAGGGUGGCAAACAUCAAUGGAGUUACUACAAAUAAAGAAGCUAGAGACGGAGGUUGAAACAGAAUUGGUUUUAGCAGCACGUUCAGGGCUAGAAGGUUCAGUAGAGCAUUUAAUUGAAGACGAUAAGAGAGAAAAGGACAUUCUAAGUAAGAAAGGAGAAACCCUUGCAGUGGAAUUAGCUGAGCUCCUGGAGUUGGUGAGGUUGAAAGAAGCAGAGAUAGCUGAAAACAAUGCUCAGAUGCAGGAGGUUCAAGAAAGGAUCGGUGCGGUGGUCUCCAGAUUUCAUGGCUCCCAGUCAGAUAUUGACAUGAAGAUCAAUUCCUUGCAGGAAUCCCAAACUAAAAUUGAUCAAGAUACUGAGGCACUUGCCUUAAAAAAGAAUGAAAUCGACAACUGUAUCUCUUCAGCAGAGCAGAAAGACUCAGACUUACGGGAAAUCAUCAAUGCUUGUUCUGCUGAAGCAAAAGCUUGCCAACAAUCAGUUGAAAUCAGAAGGAAGCUUGCAUCAUCAAUCUUGAAGUCAAGGCAGGAUAGAAUUGGGUUAUUAAAAAUGGAGGAGGAAAUUUCACAAGACAUCCAAAUGCUCAGGCAACAAACAACUGAUGCUAGAACUAGUCUUCAGGAGAUAUCUUCAAAGAGAGCAUGCAUACAGCAAGAGAUGGCUACAUGUAAGCAGAAGCUGAGCUUUAUUGACAAAAGAGGCCCUGAACUAGAGGCUGAAAAGAAGGUUGCUGCUGCUGCAAGGAACUUUAAGGAAGCAGGGAGAAUAGCUGCAGAGGCAAAAACACUGAAUUCUGAGAAGGAAGAACUCCGUGCUAAAUUGGAGAAAGCUGGUACUGAUCUGGAGGUUAUAGAAAAGGAUAUCGCAGCAACCACUGACAAGAUACAGGAAUGCGAAGGGCUUAUUGUGCUCAAAGAACAAGAGUCAGCCAUGGCAAGUUACAAAAGGCUCCGUCUGGACUCCUCUGCUGCUAGAGCAGAAUUGACUGCUGCAACUGAAACAGAUGACGGUGAGGAAGUGGAGAUAUUACGCAAAGAAGCUGAAGCCGCGGAAUCUAAAGCGCUGGAACUCAAAACAUUGUAUAACCUCCAACCGGAUAGCGACGAAUAUAUAUUUCAGCCUGUAGUUCCUAUAGCAUUCAUAACGAAUUCAACAUGGCAGCACUUGGCAGAGAUGGCAUCUUCUUUUGGCCUCUCCCCUGAGACAUGA